rnacentral:lncRNA from 1 species
UUAGACUUGACUCUGAACCGCAGUUGGUCCUUGAGAGACGACCUAGGGGUCAUUCCCUAGCAUUAUACUGCAUUUCUUAUUAUGCAAUCAAAUUUGAUUGGGCGGCAACACCCAUCAGUGCUUCAAUAAACAGACCACCUUUGUUUGCUGGUGAAAACUAUCCUCUUUGGAAAAUCAGAAUGCAAAUCUUUCUUGAAUCACAAGAUAAGGGAAUUUUAGAUGCCACCUUAAAUGGUUCAUUU